rnacentral:SRP_RNA from 1 species
GCCAGGUGUUGUGGCAGGCGCCUGUACUCCAGCUAUUUAGGAGGCUGAGGCAAGAGAAUUGCUUGAGCCCAGGAGUAUGAAUGAGGUUGCUGUGAACUAUGAUGCUAUGGCACUCUACUGAGGGCAACAAAGCAAGACUCUUUUUUUCUUAAGACAGAGUACUAUGUUGCCCUCAGUAGAUUGCCGUGGCAUCGCAGCUCACAGCAACCUCAAACUCUUGGGCUUAAGCAAUUCUCUUGCCUCAG